rnacentral:rRNA from 1 species
GACGUAGGGCGCGAGCGUUGUCCGGAUUUAUUGGGCGUAAAGAGCUCGUAGGCGGCUUGUUGCGUCGACUGUGAAAACCCGCGGCUUAACUGCGGGCUUGCAGUUGAUACGGGCAGGCUAGAGUUCGGUAGGGGGAGUCUGGAAUUCCUGGUGUAGCGGUGAAAUGCGCAGAUAUCAGGAGGAACACCGGUGGCGAAGGCGGGUCUCUGGGCCGAUACUGACGCUGAGGAGCGAAAGCGUGGGGAGCGAACAGG